AUGGAAACCCAGAAAGCAUCAUGGCUGCCGCCGGCCUGGAAGAAAAGUAUCUGCCGGCGGCAGCCUCAGCCAAAUCCCUGUCACUUUCGCCACGGCAAGCAGCUCCCAAGCGAGGGAACCCCAAGAAGUGUUUAGUCUAUCCGCAUCCCCCGAGGAGCUCCCACCUGUCUCGUUCGGUUCUGCGUUGGCUCCAGGGCCUGAAUCUCAGCUUCUUCCCCAGGAACGUCCACAGAGAUUUUUCAAAUGGCUUCCUGAUUGCAGAAAUAUUAAGUAUAUAUUACCCCUGGGACCUUAAAUUGUCAUCCUUUGAAAAUGGAACCUCUUUAAAAGUCAAGUUGGAUAACUGGGCACAAAUAGAAAAGUUUCUGGCCAAAAAAAAUUUUAAGUUACCCAAAGAACUAAUCCAUGGAACAAUCCAUUGUAAAUCUGGAGUACCCGAAAUAUUGAUACAAGAGGUUUAUACUUUAUUAACACAUCGAGAAAUUAAAAGUAUCCAGGAGGACUUCGUGAACUUCACAGACUAUAGUUACCAAAUGAAUUUACCCCUGGUUCCCAGGACUACGGCUUCAAGGUCUAUUAAGGAUAACAUUAGGUUAUCAGAAUUAAAAAGCAAUCCCAACAUUCUCAACAAUGAACUUAAAGUAGAGUUCCUCUUUCUUUUACACAUGUUGCAAAGAAAAUUAAGCAGAAAAUUGAAUCCAACAUGGUUUGAUGUCAAACCAACAGUGGGAGAAAUUACUCUUGGUCAUCUUCCUUCCCGAGGCUCUGGGCACAGAUAUAAUUCAAAGGUUUCAAGGCAAAGGUUUCACAACAAAGUUGCUCUUGUUUCAUCAAAGACAGAUAAUGAUGGCAAUCCACAUAAAGACAUUCAUGUAAAGCAAGCUGAAAAAGAUUAUUACUCUGUAAUGAAACCUAUCAAGAACACGGAAAAGAAACCUUGAAAGGGAGAAGAGUCCAUUUAUGCUAACUAUUGUAGAAGCAGCAUGGCACUAUUUUCUUAUGGGGCUCCAUGCCUCAUUAUAGCUUCUAGCUCGACAUAUAUUAUGUCUACAGUCUAUCUUGUAACCAUGGAAAACCUAUACAAGGAGAAAGAAGUCAAGAAUGUCAGAGUUGAAGGAAGGAAAGGAUUCACGUCUUGAUGGAAUCAAUGCAUAGCUACGACAGUAAUGCCUUUGUAAAGUGUCCCGACACAUAAGACCAGUAAACCCUAUGUGCUUAAGCUAGCAUAAGAUUUCCAUCAUUUAUAGUCUAAUGCAUUUUAACUCAUAUAUCUUAUUGCUGCUUUAUUAAAAGAAGAUGUUGAGUAAAUAAAUCAAUGCUUCUGAUCCAC